AUGAUACUCUAUGAUAAACUUUAUGUACUUAGGAAUUAAUACCAACUCAUUAUUAGCAAAAAAUAAACAUCUUUACACCAAGAGUAGUUUUUCCUUUAAUAAAAAAAGGUGGAAUGUGUAUAAUGGACAAGGGAUAACCAAAUCACUGGUCCAUUAAUCACAGAACAAUACAUACAAAUUAAACUUACUCCGCUGGGCACAGUGGCUCAUGCCUGUAAUCCCAGCACUUUGGGAGGCUGAGGGGGGGCAAAUCAUGAGGUCAGGAGUUCAAGACCAGCCUAGCCAACAUGGUGAAACCCUGUCUCUACUAAAAAUACAAAAAAUUAGCUGGACAUAGUGGUGGGCGCCUGUAAUCCCAGCUACUCGGGAGGCUGAGGCAGGAGAAUUGCUUAAACCCAGGAGGCAGAGGUUGCAGUGAGCCAAGACCGCACCACUGCACUCCAGCCUGGGCAACAGAGUGAGACUCCAUCUCAAAAAAAUAAUAAUAAAAUAAAAAAAUUAAACUUACCUACAUAUUAGAAAAACAUCAAAAUUCAACCAUGAAUCCAGCACAUUAUCAAAUGAACAGACAAAAAUUCUACCAACAAACUGAAGAAAGUAUCAUUACUAUGAAAUUCAAGUACUGCUUAAAAAGCAUUUACAGAACUCUCACCUCAAGGUUUUCCUGCAAAAUAAAGUGAAAUGCAUACUCAAGACUCUUUAAGAAUGAGCCACUGAUGAAAACAAUAUACUUGCAACUUGUGUAACAUUUCAUACAUGUACAUUUUUUUCAAGCACCGCACGAUAAUUAAUUUGCAUCAGGCUUUCCAAAUUAGAAAAACUUCACUUAUAGAACUUCUUUCCAGUGGGAGUUUUCACGACUUUUCAAAUAAAUGUUAAAACUGAAAAUAUUCUUGCAGUUUCUAAAUAUUAGUUGUAAUCCUGUGUACAUUUUUGUAUUUACAAGGUCCAGCUGCAGUGUGCAUUUUCACAUGUCCUUGAGCAGAUAUGAGAGAAAUGAAAACAUUCCCACAUUCUGGACAUUCAUAGGGUUUUUCUCAGGAAUGAGUUGAUGUCUUCAAACGGAACUAAAACAACUGAAGGCCUUAACACAAAUUUAAAUUUAAAAGGCUCUUCUCCACUCUGAGUCCUCCCAAAUCUUCAAAAUAGGAAAAUCUGAAGGCUUGACCACAUUUCCUACAUUCUUAAGGUUUUCUGAAGUGUGAGCUCUUUCAUGUUUAUGAGGGAAUGGGAAAGAGUAAAUGCUUUACCGCAUUUCUUACAUUCAUAGGGUUUUUCUCCA
rnacentral:lncRNA from 10 species